GGUAAAGCUUUUGCGGUUUGGGAUGGGCCUGCGUCCUAUCAGGUAGUUGGUGAGGUAAAUGCUCACCAAGCCUAUGACGGGUAGCUGGUCUGAGAGGAUGGUCAGCCAGACUGGGACUGCGACACGGCCCAGACUCCUACGGGAGGCAGCAACUAGGAAUUGUGCGCAAUGGACGAAAGUCUGACGCCGCGACAUCGCGUGGAGGAUGAAGGUCUUCGGAUUGUAAACUCCUUUUCUUACCGAACAAGUUCUGAGUGUAGGUAAGGAAUAAGUGCCUGCUAACCACGUGCCAGAAGCAUCGGUAAUACGUGGGGCACGAGCGUUAUCCGGAUUUACUGGGCGUAAAGAGAAGCGUAGGCGGCUCAAUAAGUUUGGUGUUAAAUCUUCCGGCUCAACCGGAAACAAGCACCGAAAACUAUCGAGAUUGAGUCGAGUAGGGAAGAGGGGAAUUCCUGGUGGAGCGGUUAAAUGCGUAGAUAUCAGGAGGAAUACCAAGGGCGAAGGCACCUCUUUGGACUCGUACUGACGCUGAGGCUCGAAAGCGUGGGUAGCAAAACGGAUUAGAUACCCGUGUAGUCCACGCCGUAAACGAUCCCUGUUAGAUGU
rnacentral:rRNA from 1 species